rnacentral:rRNA from 1 species
GACGAACGCUGGCGGCGUGCUUAACACAUGCAAGUCGAACGGAAAGGCCCUGCUUGCAGGGUGCUCGAGUGGCGAACGGGUGAGUAACACGUGGGUGAUCUGCCCCUUACUUUGGGAUAAGCCUGGGAAACUGGGUCUAGUACUGGAUAGGACCAUGCUGUAGGUGGUGUGGUGGAAAGAUUAGUUUCGGUAAGGGAUGAGCUCGCGGCCUAUCAGCUUGUUGGUGGGGUAAUGGCCUACCAAGGCGUCGACGGGUAGCCGGCCUGAGAGGGUGGACGGCCACAUUGGGACGGAGAUACGGCCCAGACUCCUACGGGAGGCAGCAGUGGGGAAUAUUGCACAAUGGGCGCAAGCCUGAUGCAGCGACGCCGCGUGGGGGAUGACGGCAUUCGGGUUGUAAACUCCUUUCAGCCAUGACGAAGCCCUUGUGGUGACGGUAGUGGUAGAAGAAGCACCGGCUAACUACGU